AUUGAACGCCGGCGGCAUGCUUUACACAUGCCAGUCGAACGGCAGCGCGGGCUUCGGCCUGGCGGCGAGUGGCGAACGGGUGAGUAAUACAUCGGAACGUGCCCAGUAGUGGGGGAUAGCUCGGCGAAAGCCGGAUUAAUACCGCAUACGACCUGAGGGUGAAAGCGGGGGAUCUUCGGACCUCGCGCUAUUGGAGCGGCCGAUGGCAGAUUAGCUAGUUGGUGGGGUAAAGGCCUACCAAGGCGACGAUCUGUAGCUGGUCUGAGAGGACGACCAGCCACACUGGGACUGAGACACGGUCCAGACUCCUACGGGAGGCAGCAGUGGGGAAUUUUGGACAAUGGGCGAAAGCCUGAUCCAGCAAUGCCGCGUGUGUGAUGAAGGCCUUCGGGUUGUAAAGCACUUUUGGCGGGAACGAAAAGGACUGUGCCAAUACCACGGUUCGAUGACGGUACCCGCAGAAUAAGCACCGGCUAACUACGUG
rnacentral:rRNA from 1 species